GCCUGAGACGAUCUUCAAAUAAGAUUCGACUAUGAAUACCAGCCUAUGUCUAUGUAUCGCGCGCUGCAAGCAGUGGCCACUCACCGUUUUGCUUUCUUGUUUGGCGCGUUAUGAUUGGUCGCUUGAGUUGCGACAAUGCGCGACACAACGUGCUCGCGUGGAUCGAGCAGUCGGAGAUCGGAGGGACUUAUAUAAAUAUAAUUGGUUCUUGCCCUUAAUUCUUAUCGGAUCUAAAUGUAUAAACCAAUCAUAUUAAAGAAUUUUACAACAGCUGUUCCACUGCUACGGCGCUACAUUCUCCGCAGGGUAUCGAUCAUGUAAUUUUUCCCCUAAAGCGGAAACGUGAAAAGUAAAAAGUUUCAAGUUACUGCCUGCGUUUGAAAAUAGCUUUAGCUGGUGUUGGGAAAAAAAGUUAAGUUGGUAAUAUUGAGAAUUCCCAACGCUGUUUGUUUUCUCCCAGCUGGAAGUAGUUGGAGAUCGAUCGAAUAGGUGCAUUUAGUGCGAAUGACAACAAAAUAUCUUAACAAGCGAUAACGUACGCACGUGUUUUAUAUAACUUAUAUCUACGAUUGUUGAAAUUUAGCAAAUUCAAGGCUCUUUCUUUGCGUAUUGUUGAAUAAGAAACGGAAGUCAAUAAAAAGAAUAUACAAAUUUAAUCAACAUUAAUUAUUAUUAUUAUGGAAAAGUUACUAUUGAAGAAUAUUUUACUCGAAAACAUGUUUGAUUCUUUUAGUAUAGUUUAUCGUCUAAUAACAGUGAUGACGACGAUAAAGAAUUACAAAAUAUCUUGUUCAGUAACAACACGAGAUGAAAGGAGAAACGUACCAAAAAUAAAAAAUUAUUUGGAACACAUUGUAGCAAUUAAGUUAUAAUACAUGAAGAAUUAUCGAACUAUUAUUCGCAUACGGUUGUACCUUCUAUUUUUGCUACCUAUAGGGCAUAGACGGCAACCAUACAUUAUAAU